UGCGGAGGAUGCAAGCGUUAUCCGGAAUGAUUGGGCGUAAAGCGUCCGCAGGUGGCUAUGUAAGUCUGCUGUUAAAGAGUGAGGCUCAACCUCAUAAAAGCAGUGGAAACUACAUGGCUAGAGUGCGUUCGGGGCAGAGGGAAUUCCUGGUGUAGCGGUGAAAUGCGCAGAUAUCAGGAGGAACACCGAUGGCGAAGGCAGCUCACUAGGACGGUACUGACGCUGAGACGCGAAAGCGUGGGGAGCGAACAGG
rnacentral:rRNA from 1 species